CCAUCCCGGAGCUGGCCAUCCGCACAGACCUCCACGCCCCGCCGCUGAGUGCGAGCAACAGUCCCGCCUUCCGCAUGGCGCCGCCUCGCCGCACACCCAGGGGAGAUAUGGAUUAACAUUACCUGGAAGCAGAAUGGGGAGGCAACAGUGAGGCCAGCUGCACGAAUUUGGAAACAGGGAGCUAAGUGCUCUCUGAGCUGGAAAAUCUGAGCUAGAAAAUGAGCAUAAAAAGCACGAAGUCACUUGAAAGGAGCAGAAAGACUCAGGCCACUGAGACGGACUGAAGCCUGAAUAAAAAUAUUAACUCAUUCAAACAACCGCUGAGGAACCACAGAGCCCUGAGGAGUGGCAGGUGUCUACACUGGCUAGAGUGCAGCUCAGGUGAGGAAUGGGUAGUGAUUUGUGGAAAGAGAUGUGUCUGACUACUCUGACACCAUUGAACAUUCUAGUCGCGGUCACAUGCUUGCCAAGGGACCCUCUCGCAGCCCUCCUUGGCUUCUCCCAUAGCCUGCCCCACAGGGAGGAUGAAACUUCCUGUUGGAGGGUGACAGUAAUGGCUCCCUUUGGGAGUUGUUUCUCCUCCUUCACCAAAAUAUUUAAAAACACCAAUUUUGGAACCAGCUUCCAAUUCCAGCACGGCGUCCCCUCUCUUCAGCGACCACCGAGGAGCCGCUGAACCAUUUUCAUAAGAGAACCAUUAUGAAGCUUUUCUUCAGAGCUUCCUUCGAGGUAGCUAAGGCCCCGCUGGGUGAGCGUGCAGCUCUAUCCCGUGACUAGCUCGCAUCGGCAGCGCCGCGCCAGGGCCUCGGGCGAGAACUCACCGCAUGCGGUCGGCCAUAAUUCUGCAUGGCCGCGGCGAGGGGAUGGUCGCUGCCGUUCCUGCUGAGGAGAAAGUGGACGCAAAGAAGAAUCUGAGGAAUCCCGUGAUGAUGUGCACUUUGGUCCGUUUGACUAACACCCCCUUGCCCCGGCCCUGUACACUGUUCAGUAAAAACUGAAGUCUUAAAGAAAGAAAGAAAGAAAAGAAAGAAAGAAAGGAAGGAAAGGAAAGGAAAGAAAAAAGGAAAGGAAAGGAAAAGUUCUGGCUCUGCCGCUUCCAAACUGAUGACCUUGGGCCUGUGACUGGACCUUCUUGUGCCUCCGUUUCCUCAUCCGUAAAAUGGAGACCUGAAGGGUACAAUGGAGACAUGAAGGGUACGUGCCUCCUACUAGUGAGGACUCGUGAGUCCGGCCUGUGAGAACUCGCAGUGCUGGGCAAGCAGUUGGCGCUGUGUCUGCUGUGGUGCUUGUGGAAGAUGACACACUUGGCACCCUGGCUCAUCCAGCUCGCGCUCUGGGGGCCUAGAAUCUGAGACGCUGGUGCCCCUGAGGCACUGUCCUACUCUCUCCGUGCUGGUAGGGUCAGGUUCCUGAGCCUGCACCUGGAGAGGAAGACGUUCAGCUAUGGCGACUUCUCCUAAGAGCCAGAUUUCCUAGCUGCAAAUGGGUGCUAAAAAGUCCCAACAGAAAGAUGGAGGAAAAAAAGGUGACUCCAACUGCAAUGCCAAAGAAUAAAGUGCCUCCGCUUUUGUCCACCAAUCUAUCAUCCACUCUGGGGAAAGCCAGCUGCCAUAUUUUGAACAGCCCUAUGGAGACAACUUACAACAGACAACUCAGUGAGAAAUGGAGGUCUCCAGAUAACAACCUGAGAAAAACUGAGGCUCAGCCAGAAAAUAAUAAAAAGGAAAGACUGCAGAGGGACUUGCUGCCAGAAGGCUUCAGAGACAGCUGUCCCUGCAGCACGUGGAUCCCUCCUUCCCCAGGCGUGACUGCCUUUCCUGGCAGGUACUCCAAGCCACCAACGGAACAAAGAAGAAACAAAGGUAUAAUGAGCAAGCUUCUUCCACUAUACACUACAGACAAUAGGUGCAAUAUUUUGAAAAAAAGAAAAAAAAAUCUGUCUCAUUAGUUAACUCUUUUAGACCAUUUGCUGCUAUGUACAGGAAGGCGUGGGGUUUGAGGUGAUGGCAGCAACCUCACAUCGGCAGCUGUGGGCCCUCAUGUCGUCCCUCCCCCAUAGUGACCAGGCCAGAGUCUGCUUAGGUUUUGCACCUAGGCCCACCUUUUAGUCCCUCCCUGAUCUCUUUGCCACUACAGAGCCCAAACUUGCCUAUGCCUGGUCAAGUCCCAGCGACACAGCAGAACUGUGGCUGUGAGAGGAGAGCCCUGCCUUCCUCCUCCUGCUCCUCAACCAGGGCCGGCCCAUUACUUAGCAAUGGCUCUAUUUUUGUCGUGCUCAUUAUACUGCAGCACUGUUCAUUUCCAUCUCAUUAUUGUUGGGGGGAGGGGGUCAUCCGGAGGCUUCGUUGCCCAGGAGACGGGGGUGGGAGGUGGCCUGGUAGGGGGGAGCUGGGCACUCAGCUGUCUUCCGCAGGCGUGGCUCAUCCAUCAUCUGACAAGACUGUCAGGUCUCUCUCUGCUGGUUGUAGGGUGACCACCAGAGCCCAUCACUUGUUCUGGCUCUUUCUCCUGCCAGAAGCAAAUCCUCCCCUUUUUAAACAGAGAUGGAGAGACAUAUCUAGAUUUAAGGAUAGAGAAAACAGAACAGCCAUACAAAUCCCCUGUGUGAAUCUGUCGGGGACAAAAAAUGUCUCGGGGUGACUGGCUGCUGUAUUAGAGGCACGUGGGGUAGAAGCACUCCUGCCCUCCAGGACACAGGUCCCUGGCUACUUCCCCCAGCCAAUGGGCCAUGGCCAUGGCGGCUGUUGCUAGAAGUCUCCAUGCGCAGGACAUUUGCAUAAUGGCCCCCAGGACUUUUGCCCGGGACUUGACUGCAGUGACAAGAAACAGGUUAGAUGGCCACAGGGAAAGGGGGAGCAAGGCACUACUGUCGAGAGGAACUGAUGCCCUUUGCCUCUGCCCUGAACCCUGAGGGUUCUGCAAGCCUCCCUCCACACACUCGGCACUCCAGUGGCAGGAUGGAGGGCCCUAAGCCUCUCCUGUGAUGUCUCUCGGCUGGAGCUGCUCCUUCUCACCCUGUGAAAUCAGAUCUCAGACGUUACCUCUUCAGUGAACACUUCCUGGACCUCUUCCCUGUAUCCCUCUGACAAAGUAAGGCGUGCUUUUCUCCGAAGUCCUCCAGCACUUCAUUCCCUAAUUGUAAUGGUAGGUUGCCCACCAUCUGACUCUCCCACUGCUCUUGUAUCUCCAGACUCUGCUGGGGGCCUGAGGCAUAGCACAGAGCUUUGUCGAUUACACUGGACCCUGAGGGAUAAUUAGAGGUGUGUGUACAGCACCUCACGACUGAUGGCUUGCUUUGUGCCAGACACUGUGCUGAGAGCUUCAUAGGCACUAUCCUCCUUAAUCCUCACCAUAGCCCAAGAGGCAGGGGCCAUUCCUCCCCCUCCUACAGAGGAGGAGACUGAAGAGGGGAACUAACUUACUCCAGGUCACAUGCAUAUGCCUCUCUCUAGAUUUGCUUUCACUACACACAAGGUAGCAAACCACAUGUUGUUCUUCACCUUGCUUUUUCCCCCCUUUGACUUAUUUCUUGGAGAUUGUUCCAUUAUCAGUAGUUACAGACCAAUGCCCAUUCUUCUUAAGACAUCCAGAGUAUCCCAUAAAUGGAUAGAUUCUACCUUAUUUACUCACCCCCUGUUGGUGGGCAUUUAGGUGGUUUCCUUUCUUUUGCUAUUAUGUGUGGUGCUAUAAAGUGGACACCUGCCCACAAACCUCAGCAUAAGUUCUGUUACAUUCCAUGCAAAUCCUUGGUCCUUCUCAAAUUUUGGCAUAACAAAUGAGGUAGGGAUUCAGUUAAGAUGUCGACCACUGUACUCUACAAUGGCCAAAUAUCUUACCCAGCACACAAUAGGUGCUUGUAAAUGUUACCAGUGACAGUGGCAAUGGUGACAACCAACAGUGUCCACUGUAGCACACAGUCCACAGCACUAAGGAGGGCCACCUGGAAGUCUUUUAACUGUCAGUCCUAAAAGUCACUUACACAUCAAAGAACUGAUGAAUUUGCAAAACUUCCCAAGAGAAUAUUUUGACCUGGGGAGGGGAGAAAGACAUCCCAUGACUAUGGUGAUGUGCUGCACCAAAUGGUGAUGACCCAGGAUGGAAGAGCUUCUGAAGACUUGCUCUGGGUGAUGCAUGCGAGGCAGUCCCUGGGUCUAAUUCAGAUGAACUCCUGUUAGUGGAUGUGGGCUAACAGCAUUGGUCUAAGGCUAGAGCAAAUGGAGGCAUGUUCUCCUGGGUGGCGAGGUGGUGUCUGAGAAGGCAAGGCCAGCAGGGGUCAGACCAGAGCUCUGAAAGCAGAACUGACCUUGCCUGAGAGCAUGAAGGGCCUAAGGUAGGCAGUUGGCAGCUUGUGUCCAGGCCUGGUGGGUGGAAGAUAGGGGAUCCCACAAGAGGGAAAGGUGAGCUGGAAACCUCUUAUCCAGGUGGGUUGAAGGGCAAACCCUACCAGCUGGGACUCCCCAGAAGAUGAGGACGAAUAGCUCUGGGGUGGGAUCGCCACUCCCCAAAUAAUCAGUGUACACGGUGGAAGAGGGCCAGAGGCUGUUCCAAAACACUGGACUUGCUGGGAACAAGCAGACGCCCUGCUGGGCAGGGGUGGGAUGGCCUGCCAGGACUCACUGAACAUUAAGAGCUCUGUAUGAGGACUUGGGAUUAAGACAUCAUAGUAACAGCUAAUACCGACCAUAAACCAUGCCCAGGCAUUAAUUCAUGCUAUUCUCCUAACAGCCCUGCAAAUUUACCCCCAUUUUAUACACAAGAAAAUGGAGUCACAGAGAGGUUGACCUUCCAGAAUUGAAGUCGUAUAACUUGCAUUGCUUAUCAAAAUUUGGUCAUCUGUUGAGCCCUAGG